rnacentral:rRNA from 1 species
AGCGAACGCUGGCGGUAGGCUUAACACAUGCAAGUCGAACGGCAGCACAGUAAGAGCUUGCUCUUACGGGUGGCGAGUGGCGGACGGGUGAGGAAUACAUCGGAAUCUACUUUUUCGUGGGGGAUAACGUAGGUAAACUUACGCUAAUACAGCAUACGACCUUCGGUGGAAAGCAGGGGAUCUUUUGACCUUGCGCGAUUGAAUGAGCCGAUGUCGGAUUAGCUAGUUGGCGGGGUAAAGGCCCACUAAGGCGACGAUCCGUAGCUCGUCUGAGAGGAUGGUCACCGGCACUAGAGCUUAGUCAGGGUCCAGGCUCCUACGGGAGGGAGCAGUCGGGAAUAUUAGACAAUGGGCGCAAGCCUGAUCCAGCCAUCCCGCGUGGGAGGAGGAGGCCUUCGGGUUGUAAAGCCCUUUUGUUGGGAAAGAAAAGCAGCAGGUUAAUACCCCGCUGUUGUGACGGUACCCAGAGAAUAAGCACCGGCUAACUUCGUG